GGCGUGGUAGCUCAGAUGGUUAGAGCGCACGACUCAUAAUCGUNNUCCAUGGUAAGGAAGGGGUCGUCAGUUCAAUCCUGACUCGGGGCU
rnacentral:tRNA from 1 species